rnacentral:lncRNA from 1 species
GCGAAGGUAGAACUCACCUACGUGAAUCCCUGCCGAUAGUUCGUAAGAGAAAACCUCUCGGAGAAGGUAGAAUUCACUUGUGACCGGGAUUCCGAUAAGAAAACCUCCUGGCAAAGGUAGAAUUCACCUAUGUGAAUCCCUGCCGAGAGUCCGAUAAGAAACCUCUCGGAGAAGCUAGAAUUCACCUGUGUAUCCCUACCAGGUCCGUAAGAGAAAACCUCUUGGCAAAGGUAGAAUUCAUAUAUGUGAAUCCAUGCCGAGAGUCCGAUAAGAAAACCUUUUGGCAAAGGUAGAAUUCACUGAAUCCCUACUGAGAGUCCGAUAAGAAACCUCUCGGAGAAGGUAGAAUUCACCUGUGAAUCCCUGCCAAGAGUCUGAUAAGAAACCUCUUGGCGAAGGUAGAAUUCACCUACGUGAAUCCCUGUCGAGAGUCCGUAAAAGAAAACCUCUUGGAAAAGGUAGAAUUCACCUCCGUGAAUCCCUGCCGAGAGUCCGAUAAGAAAUCUCUCAGAGAAGGUAGAAUUCAUAUAUGUGAAUCCAUGACGAGAGUUCGAUAAGAAAAUAUCUUAGCGAAGGUAGAAUUCACCUAUGUGAAUCCCUGCCGAGAGUUUGAUAAGAAACCUCUUGACGAAGGUAGAAUUGAUAUAAACCCACUAACAUGAUAGGAUAUGAUAUGAACAUGUUAUGGAUUCAAUAAGAGUUGGAAUAUGAUUAGGCACUUUUUAAGAAUUUGAUCAAUGUUCUUAAACAUUCAAGAACUCACCAAAACACAAGUAACCAAGCCAAACUCACAUAGAAACCCAUUUUUGGACAUAUGAACCGUUUGACACAAGGAAGAACACAAAUGCACUGAUUAAAAGUCCAAGAAACACAAUCAUAACCACAAGAACAGCAAACCAAAUGAAACUACCGAAUAUAAACACAAGACAAACAAGUUCUACCGAUUGAAAUAACAAGAAACAACAAAAACAUGUUUUAGAGUUUGUUUUGGAAUGGAAAUGGAAGAAGAAGAUGAAAAGGACAAGGAAACUUAUGUGGUUGGAGCUCUUGGAAAUGUGCACGCCACUUGAAGGAUGGUUGGCUUCAAGAUGAGUGU